UAAGGAAUAUUGCGCAAUGGACGACAGUCUGACGCAGCGACGCCGCGUGGGGGAUGAAGGUCUUCGGAUUGUAAACCCCCUUUCGGGUGGAAAGAUGGCUCUCGACAACGAGAGCGGACGGUACCACCAGAAGCAGCCACGGCCAACUUCGUGCCAGCAGCCGCGGUAAUACGAAGGUGGCAAGCGUUGUUCGGAUUCACUGGGCGUACAGGGUGUGUAGGCGGUUCGGUAAGCCCUCUGGGAAAGCUCCUGGCUCAACCGGGAAAGUUCAGGGGGGACUGCCGGGCUAGAGGACGGGAGAGGAGCGCGGAAUUCCCGGUGUAGCGGUGAAAUGCGUAGAUAGUCGGGAGGAAGGCCGGUGGGCGAAGGCGGCGCUCUGGGAACGUAUCUGACGCUGAGACA
rnacentral:rRNA from 1 species